rnacentral:SRP_RNA from 1 species
GCUGGGCGUGGUGGCUCACGCCUGUAAUCCCAGCACUUUGGGAGGUCGAGGUGGGAGGAUCACCUGAGGUCAGGAGUUCAAGACCAGCCUGACCAACAUGGAGAAACCCCAUCUCUA